CAGCAGCCGCGGUAAUACCAGCACCUCAAGUGGUCAGGAUGAUUAUUGGGCCUAAAGCAUCCGUAGCCGGCUCUGUAAGUUUUCGGUUAAAUCUGUACGCUCAACGUACAGGCUGCCGGGAAUACUGCAGAGCUAGGGAGUGGGAGAGGUAGACGGUACUCGGAAGGAAGGGGUGAAAUCCUUUGAUCUUUUGAUGACCACCUGUGGCGAAGGCGGUCUACCAGAACACGUCCGACGGUGAGGGAUGAAAGCUGGGGGAGCAAACCGGAUUAGAUACCCGGGUAGUCCCAGCUGUAAACUAUGCAAACUCAGUGAUGCAUUGACUUGUGGUCAAUGCAGUGCUGCAGGGAAGCCGUUAAGUUUGCCGCCUGGGAAGUACGUACGCAAGUAUGAAACUUAAAGGAAUUGGCGGGGGAGCACCACAAGGGGUGAAGCCUGCGGUUCAAUUGGAGUCAACGCCAGAAAUCUUACCCGGAGAGACAGCAGAAUGAAGGUCAAGCUGAAGACUUUACCAGACAAGCUGAGAGGUGGUGCAUGGCCGUCGCCAGCUCGUGCCGUGAGAUGUCCUGUUAAGUCAGGUAACGAGCGAGAUCCCUGCCUCUAGUUGCCACCAUUACUCUCAGGAGUAGUGGGGCGAAUUAGCGGGACCGCCGUAGUUAAUACGGAGGAAGGAAGGGGCCACGGCAGGUCAGUAUGCCCCGAAACUCUGGGGCCACACGCGGGCUGCAAUGGUAAUGACAAUGUGUUCCGAAUCCGAAAGGAAGAGGCAAUCAAGAAACAUUACCACAGUUAUGACUGAGGGCUGCAACUCGCCCUCACGAAUAUGGAAUCCCUAGUAACGGCGUGUCAUUAUCGCGCCGUGAAUACGUCCCUGCUCCUUGCACACACCGCCCGUCGUUUCAUUGAAGUUUGCUUUUAGCGAGGUGACGUCUAAUUGGCGUUAUCGAACUUGAGGUAAGUGACAAGGGAAAAGUCGUAACAAGGUAACCGUA
rnacentral:rRNA from 1 species